rnacentral:rRNA from 1 species
ACGCUGGCGGCGUGCCUAAUACAUGCAAGUCGAGCGAGCUGAAUUCAAAGAUCCCUUCGGGGUGAUUUGUUGGACGCUAGCGGCGGAUGGGUGAGUAACACGUGGGCAAUCUGCCCUAAAGACUGGGAUACCACUUGGAAACAGGUGCUAAUACCGGAUAACAACAUGAAUCGCAUGAUUCAAGUUUGAAAGGCGGCGCAGGCUGUCACUUUAGGAUGAGCCCGCGGCGCAUUAGCUAGUUGGUGGGGUAAAGGCCUACCAAGGCAAUGAUGCGUAGCCGAGUUGAGAGACUGAUCGGCCACAUUGGGACUGAGACACGGCCCAAACUCCUACGGGAGGCAGCAGUAGGGAAUCUUCCACAAUGGACGCAAGUCUGAUGGAGCAACGCCGCGUGAGUGAAGAAGGUCUUCGGAUCGUAAAGCUCUGUUGUUGGUGAAGAAGGAUAGAGGCAGUAACUGGUCUUUAUUUGACGGUAAUCAACCAGAAAGUCACGGCUAACUACGUGCCAGCAGCCGCGGUAAUACGUAGGUGGCGAGCGUUGUCCGGAUUUAUUGGGCGUAAAGCGAGCGCAGGCGGAAUGAUAAGUCUGAUGCGAAAGCCCACGGCUCAACCGUGGAACUGCAUCGGAAACUGUCAUUCUUGAGUGCAGAAGAGGAGAGUGGAACUCCAUGUGUAGCGGUGGAAUGCGUAGAUAUAUGGAAGAACACCAGUGGCGAAGGCGGCUCUCUGGUCUGCAACUGACGCUGAGGCUCGAAAGCAUGGGUAGCGAACAGGAUUAGAUACCCUGGUAGUCCAUGCCGUAAACGAUGAGCGCUAGGUGUUGGGGACUUUCCGGUCCUCAGUGCCGCAGCAAACGCAUUAAGCGCUCCGCCUGGGGAGUACGACCGCAAGGUUGAAACUCAAAGGAAUU